AACGGUCUAUACCUGCGGUACCUGCGGAGGGAUCAUUAUCGAAUUUCGACGGGGGCGCUCGGUUCGGCCCGCACCGGUGGAGACGCCGUGAUGCGGUCGGGCCAGCGCCCUCUUCCAAACUCAAACCCCUGUGAACCUUUUGGGAGGGAUGCGCCGAGUUUCGGAGCGCCCUCCCGUUCCAUAACCAACUCUGAUGUCUAUUUGAAUGUCGAGAUUCGGGGCAGCCCCGAUGUCGAAACU
rnacentral:misc_RNA from 1 species